rnacentral:rRNA from 1 species
UACCAGCUCCGCGAGUGGUCGGGGCGUUUAUUGGGCCUAAAGCGUCCGUAGCCGGCCCAGUAAGUUCCUCCUUAAAUCCCAUGGCUCAACCAUGGGGCUGGGAGGAAUACUACUGGGCUAGGGGGCGGGAGAGGCCGAGGGUAUUCCCGGGGUAGGGGCGAAAUCCUAUAAUCCCAGGAAGACCACCAAUGGCGGAGGCACUCGGCCAGAACGCGCCCGACGGUGAGGGACGAAAGCCAGGGGAGCAAAAGGG